rnacentral:rRNA from 1 species
GAUGAACGCUGGCGGUAUGCCUAACACAUGCAAGUCGUACGAGAGUUUUUAACUCUAGUGGCGGACGGGUGAGUAACACGUGAGAAUUUGCCUUUAGGAGGGGGACAACAAUCGGAAACGAAUGCUAAUACCCCAUAUGCUUUCGAGUGAAAUGGAUUUUAUCCGCCUAGAGAGAAGCUCGCGGCUGAUUAGCUUGUUGGUAAGGUAAGAGCUUACCAAGGCGACGAUCAGUAUCUGGUUUUGAGGAGGACGAUCAGACACACGUGGAACUGAGACACGGUCCAGACUCCUACGGGAGGCAGCAGGUGGGGUAAUUUUCCGACAAGUGGGACGAAAGCCUGAC